rnacentral:rRNA from 1 species
GUAGGUGGCAAGCGUUGUCCGGAAUUAUUGGGCGUAAAGCGCGCGCAGGCGGUCCUUUAAGUCUGAUGUGAAAGCCCACGGCUCAACCGUGGAGGGUCAUUGGAAACUGGGGGACUUGAGUACAGAAGAGGAAAGCGGAAUUCCAAGUGUAGCGGUGAAAUGCGUAGAGAUUUGGAGGAACGCCAGUGGCGAAGGCGGCUUUCUGGUCUGUAACUGACGCUGAGGCGCGAAAGCGUGGGGAGCAAACAGGAUUAGAUACCCUGGUAGUCCACGCCGUAAACGAUGAGUGCUAAGUGUUAGGGGGUUUCCCGCCCCCCUUAGUGCUGCAGCUAACGCAUUAAGCACUCCGCCUGGGGAGUACGGCCGCAAGGCUG